GCCUGGGAGGGCGACCACGGACACCCACUCCCGUCCCUCUUCCAAGGUACGAUGAUGCAGCUGCUGUGCCCCGAUGGUUCAGAUGCUCAGGAAGACAGAAGUGCAGGUUAGAAAAGGCUGUGGCUUCCACCUUAGCUGCUCUUCAUGAGGAAGCUGGCUGCCAUCUGGUAAACUGCCCUACCGAGAGGCCCACGUAGCAGGGAACUGAAAUCGCCAGCCAAGAGCCAGGAAGGACCUGGGCUCUGCCAACUGCCACGUGCAUGAUCCUCCCCCAGGGGAGCCCUGAGAUGACACAGUCCUUCUGACAUCGUGACUGUCGCCUGUAAGAGACCCCAAGUCUGAAGCACCCAGCUGGGAUGCUCCUGGAUUCCUGACCCCCAGAAACGGUGACACUAGGCUGACUUUGAUCUACAGACAUGAUAUCAUCGGCAGGGCGCACCCAGUGCCAAACUACUGCAUUCUUUUGACCAAAACAGUGGUUUUGUGCAGCCUCACGGAUGCAGGCUAAAGAGCUUGAGAGCGGGCCUGUGUCUCCACAAACAGGUCAGAGCAGAUUUGAAUUACACAAGCCCUGCAGACGAGCCUCUUCUCUCCUAGCCCGCUGGGGAGUUUACAUUUGUCAAUUACUUCCUUCAGGGCCUGGCUCAAGAUUCGUUUCCUCCAAGACGCCCUCUUUCACGAACUCACCUCACUCAGCCGUUCCCUCCACCACAUCGGCUUAUUACUCAUCUGAUGCGCUUUGUUCGGCUCUGCCACGUGCUGUUGUGUUUUACCUCGUGAUCAUUCUCUACAUUUUUACUUUAUCCUUGAGCUAAAUUAAAACUGCCUUCAACGAAG